rnacentral:rRNA from 1 species
AACGAACGCUGGCGGCGGGCUUAACACAUGCAAGUCGAACGGAAAGGCCGUGCUUUUGUGCGGUGCUCGAGUGGCGAACGGGUGAGUAACACGUGAGUAACCUGCCCUUGACUUUGGGAUAACUUCAGGAAACUGGGGCUAAUACCGGAUAGGAGCUCCUGCUGCAUGGUGGGGGUUGGAAAGUUUCGGCGGUUGGGGAUGGACUCGCGGCUUAUCAGCUUGUUGGUGGGGUAGUGGCUUACCAAGGCUUGGACCGGUAGCCGGCCUGAGAGGGUGACCGGCCACAUUGGGACUGAGAUACGGCCCAGACUCCAACGGGAGGCAGCGGUGGGGAGUAUUGUACAAUGGGCGGAAGCCUGAUGCAGCAACGCCGCGUGCGGGAUGACGGCCUUCGGGUUGUGAACCGCUUCCGCCUGUGACGAAGCGUGAGUGACGGUAAUGGGUGAAGAAGCACCGGCUAACUACGUG